UUGUAGGGAACUGAAAGGACCGACCUUCGGGAGCCUAUACAGGUGUUGCAUGGCUGUCGUCAGCUCGUGUCGUGAGAUGUUCGGUUAAGUCCGCUAACGAGCGCAACCCUCGUCGUAUGUUAUAUGUGUCAUACGAGACUGCCGGUAAAAAGCCGGAGGAAGGUGAGGAUGAUGUCAAGUCAGCAUGACCUUUAUAUCCAGGGCUACACACACGCUACAAUGGUCUGUACAAUGGGUAGCCAAGCCGCGAGGCGGAGCCAAUCCUGAAAGCAGGCCUCAGUUCAGAUUGCAGUCUGCAACUCGACUGCAUGAAGCCGGAGUUGCUAGUAACCGCAGGUCAGCAAUACUGCGGUGAAUACGUUCCCGGGUCUU
rnacentral:rRNA from 1 species